AACCCACAUCUACCUGUAUGUGACAUUCUGCCGCUCCAUUCUUUAUCAGAGCUCAAGUAUUGUCUGGUCUUUCUACAUUACCCAGUAUUUAGUCCUGGUCUUUUCCAUUACUCCAGUUAUAGUCUGGUCUUUUCUACAUUACUCCAGUAUAUAGUCUGGUCUUUUCUACAUUACUCCAGUAUUAGUCUGUCUUUUCUACUACUCCAGUAUUUAGUCUGGUCUUUUCUACAUUACUCCGUAUAUAGUCUGGUCUUUUCUACAUUACUCCAGUAUAUAGUCUGGUCUUUUUCUACAUUACUCCAGUAUUUAGUCUGGUCUUUUCUACAUUACUCCAGUAUGUCUGGUCUUUUCUACAUUACUCCAGUAUAUAGUCUGGUCUUUUCUACAUUACUCCAGUAUAUAGUCUGGUCUUUUCUACAUUACUCCAGUAUUCUAGUUGGUCUUUUCUACUUCUCCGUAUUUAGUCUGGUCUUUUCUACAUUACUCCAGUAUAUAGUUGGUCCUCCCUGGUCUUUUCUACAUUACUCCAGUAUUAGUUGGUCCUCCCUGGUCUUUUCUACAUUACUCCAGUAUAUAGUCUGGUCCUCCCUGGUCUUUUCUACCUUACUCCAGUAUAUAGUCUGGUCUUUUCUACAUUACUCCAGUAUAUAGUCUGUCCUCCCUGGUCUUUUCUACAUUACUCCAGUAUAUAGUUGUCCUCCCUGGUCUUUUCUACAUUACUCCAGUAGUAUUAGUCGGUCCUCCCUGGUCUUUUCUACAUACUCCAGUAUAUAGUCUGGUCCUCCUGGUUUUUAUUCAUUACUCCAGUAUAUAGUCUGGUCUUUUCUACAUUUACUCCAGUAUAUAGUCUGGUCUGGUCUUUUCUACAUUACUCCAGUAUAUAUCUGGUCCUCCUGGUCUUUUCUACAUUACUCCCGUAAAUAGUCUGGUCCUCCCUAGUCUUUCUUCAUUACUCCAGUAUAUAGUCUGGUUCUUUCUACAUUACUCCAGUAUAUAGUCUGGUCUUUUCUACAUACUCCAGUAUAUAGCGGUCUCCCUGGUCUUUUCUACAUUAUCCAGUAUAUAGUCUUGUCCUCCCUGUCUUUCUAUAUACUCCAUUAUAGUCUGUUCUUUUCUACCUACUCCAGUAUUAGUCUGGUCCUCCUGGCUUUUCUACAUUAUCCAGUAUAUAGUUGGUCUUUUCUACAUUACUCCAGUAUAUAAGUCUGGUCUCCCUGGUCUUUUAUACAUUAUCCAGUAUAUAUUGUCGUCCUCCCUGGUCUUUUCACAUUACUCCAGUUAUAGUCUGGUCUUUUCUACCUUACUCCCGUAUAUAGUCUGGUCCUCCCUGGUCUUUUUCUACAUUACUCCAGUAUAUAGUCUGUCCUCCCUGGUCUUUUCUACAUUACUCCAGAUAUAGUCUGUCUUUUCAAUUACUCCGUAAUAUUGUCUGUCCUCCCUGCGUUUUCCACAUUACUCCAGUUAUAUAGUCUGGUCUUUUGUCAUCUAGUUCCAGUAUCUGCUCCUGGUCUUUUCUACAUGCUAUUCCCAGUAUAGAGUCUGGUCCUCCCUGGUCUUUUCUACAUGAUCUUCCAGUAUAAGUCUGUCCUCCCUGGUCUUUUUACAUUAUCUUCCAGUUAUAGUCUCGUCUUUUCUAC
ensembl:lncRNA